CGGAGACGUAGCAUGAGAAACGGCUACCACUUCUAAGGAAGGCAGCAGGCGCGCAAAUUACCCAAUCCUGACUCAGGGAGGUAGUGACAAGAAAUAACAAUAAACCGGCUUAUGCCGGUUUAAUUGGAAUGAGUACAAUUUAAACAUCUUAACGAGGAACAAUUGGAGGGCAAGUCUGGUGCCAGCAGCCGCGGUAAUUCCAGCUCCAAUAGCGUAUACUAAAGUUGUUGCAGUUAAAAAGCUCGUAGUUGGAUUUCUGUGGGGGCGGAGCGGCCGGCCGCAACUUGCGGUUCGAGCUAGCGCUUCCCCUACAUCCUGCCGCGAACCGUGCUACCAUUAAUUUGGUGGCGCCGGGGAUCGGCUCGUUUACUUUGAGAAAAAUAGAGUGUUCAAAGCAGGCCACACGCCUUGAAUAAGUUAGCAUGGAAUAAUAAUAAAGGACUUCGGUUCUAUUUUGUUGGUGUUCGGGACUGAAGUAAUGAUUGAUAGGGACAGUUGGGGCGGUCAGUAUUCCAAAGCGAGAGGUGAAAUUCUUAGACCUUCGGAAGACUAACAGCUGCGAAAGCGUUCCGCAAGGAUGUUCCCUUUGAUCAAGAACGGAAGUUGGGGGAUCGAAGACGAUCAGAUACCGUCGUAGUCUCAACUAUAAACUAUACCAGCUAGGGAUCGGCCAACGUUAAAUUAAUCGACUUGGUCGGCACCUUAUGAGAAAUCAAAGCAUCUGGGUUCCGGGGGGAGUAUGGUCGCAAGGCUGAAACUUAAAGGAAUUGACGGAAGGGCACCACCAGCCGUGGAGCCUGUGGCUUAAUUUGACUCAACACGGGAAAACUUACCAGGUCCAGACAUAGUAAGGAUUGACAGAUUGAUAGCUCUUUCUUGAUUCUGUGGGUGGUGGUGCAUGGCCGUUCUUAGUUGGUGGAGUGAUUUGUCUGGUUAAUUCCGUUAACGAACGAGACCCCAGCCUGCUAAAUAGCGCGGCUGAGCUUUGCUCGGCGCGAGCUUCUUAGAGGGACUAUGAUGCGCGAUAGCACAUGGAAGUUUGGGGCAAUAACAGGUCUGUGAUGCCCUUAGAUGUUCUGGGCCGCACACGGGCUACACUGGCGCCUGCAACGAGCAUAUCAGCUGGCCCGAGAGGGUCUUGGCUAAUCUUUUGAACCGGCGCCGUGCUUGGGAUUGACCAUUGCAAUUGUUGGUCAUGCAACGAGGAAUGCCUUGUAAACGCGAGUCAUCAACUCGCAUUGAAUACGUCCCUGCCCUUUGUACACACCGCCCGUCGCUCCUACCGAUGAAUGUUCCGAUGAAAUUUUCGGAGAGCGCUUGUGAAGUUGGUUAUGCCUUCCGAACGAGAGGCUCAAAGUCACUUAAAUCUGAACAUUUCGAGGAAGGAGAAGUCGUAACAAGGUAACC
rnacentral:rRNA from 1 species